rnacentral:rRNA from 1 species
UACGUAGGGUGCGAGCGUUAAUCGGAAUUACUGGGCGUAAAGCGUGCGCAGGCGGUUUUGUAAGCCAGAUGUGAAAUCCCCGGGCUUAACCUGGGAAUGGCAUUUGGGACUGCAAGGCUGGAGUGCGGCAGAGGAGACUGGAAUUCCUGGUGUAGCAGUGAAAUGCGUAGAUAUUGUGAGGAACACUAGUGGCGAAGGCGAAUCUCUGGACAGUUCCUGACGCUGAGGCACGAAGGCCAGGGGAGCAAACGGG